AUACGGAGGGUGCGAGCGUUAAUCGGAAUUACUGGGCGUAAAGGGUGCGUAGGCGGCUUGAUAAGUCGGAUGUGAAAGCCCCGGGCUUAACCUGGGAAUUGCAUUCGAUACUGUCAGGCUAGAGUAUGUCAGAGGUUGGCGGAAUUCCUGGUGUAGCGGUGAAAUGCGUAGAUAUCAGGAGGAACACCAGUGGCGGAGGCGGCUAACUGGGGCAAUACUGACGCUGAGGCACGAAAGCGUGGGGAGCAAACAGGAUUAGAAACCCUAGUAGUCC
rnacentral:rRNA from 1 species